AACUUUCAACAACGGAUCUCUUGGCUCUCGCAUCGAUGAAGAACGCAGCGAAAUGCGAUAAGUAAUGUGAAUUGCAGAAUUCAGUGAAUCAUCGAAUCUUUGAACGCACCUUGCRCCCUUUGGUAUUCCGAGGGGCAUGCCUGUUUGAGUGUCA
rnacentral:rRNA from 1 species